rnacentral:tRNA from 1 species
GAGAUUGCUCAGUGGUAGAGCAUGCAGAAGGUCCCAGGUUCAAUCCCUGGUAUCUCCA